CGGAGGGUGCGAGCGUUGUCCGGAAUCACUGGGCGUAAAGGGCGCGUAGGCGGCCUGAUAAGUAGGGGGUGAAAUCCUGCGGCUUAACCGCAGGGCUGCCUUCUAAACUGUCAGGCUCGAGCACAGUAGAGGCAGGUGGAAUUCCCGGUGUAGCGGUGGAAUGCGUAGAGAUCGGGAAGAACAUCAGUGGCGAAGGCGGCCUGCUGGGCUGUUGCUGACGCUGAGGCGCGACAGCGUGGGGGAGCAAACAGGAUUAGAUACCCUGGUAGUCCACGCCGUAAACGAUGGACACUAGGCGUCGGGGGGAGCGACCCUCCCGGUGCCGUCGCUAACGCAGUAAGUGUCCCGCCUGGGGAGUACGGCCGCAAGGCUAG
rnacentral:rRNA from 1 species